GAAUUAUUGCUGGCACCUAAGUGGUGGCUGAGUUGAGGGAUGCAGGCAUGUACACCUUCAUUUGGUCAGUAUUUUUGGAGUGCCUACUGAGUACCAGGCCCUGUGAUCAGGGCUGGGUGGGUGCUGCACACAGUAGGUGGCCAGGACACAUGCUGGCUCUUGGCUGAGACUUGAUCGAUGUGGACAUCUUCGAGCCCCAGGGGAUCAGCAAGCUGGAUGCCCAGGCCUCUUUCCUGCCGAAGGAACUGGCAGCCCAAACUAUCAAGAAGUCCUUCUCAGGAAAAAAGGGUCACGUGCUGUUCCGUCCCACUGUGAGCCAGCAGCAGUCCUGCCCCACAUGCUCUACAUCCUUACUGAACGGGCACUUCAAGGUGACCUACGAUGUCAGUCGAGACAAGAUCUGCGACCUCCUGGUGGCCAAUAACCACUUUGCCCACUUCUUCGCCCCCCAAAACCUGACAAACAUGAACAAGAAUGUGGUUUUUGUGAUUGACAUCAGUGGCUCCAUGAGAGGCCAGAAAGUGAAGCAGACCAAGGAGGCACUCCUUAAAAUUCUGGGGGACAUGCAGCCAGGGGA
rnacentral:sRNA from 1 species